UUCACAUUUUCUCGUGAAUCGCUUCUCAUCCCUGUGCUGACCUGUUCGUUCUCGUCGAAGCGCCGAACAGCAACAGCCACCAGCCAGCGGGAGGAAUGUUCCUUGGUGGUGCGCAAGCAAAUCCGCCCACCAACAAGACAGAGUUGAAGGUUGAAAAGAGCACAAAAAUGGCGAAGAAGAGAUCCAAAUCCUUGUGAUGUUUGGUGCCCUGUGUCGCCGAAAUGAGCCGACGGAAGACUUCCGCUUUUUGCUGACAAAUGCAUCGAGGUGAACUGGAUGCCCAGAUCUGCCUACGCGCCUUGGCUUUUCUUCCACUGUGCUCCUUUAUCUUCUGCUCGUGAGGUUCCGCGAUGAGUGGGCAUCUGGCUGCACACAACUUUUAAGACUUGUUGAUGAAUCCACUGCGCGGAACCACAGCGCGUCCCCAGAGAGCAGCUACACAUAUAUUCAUACAGUGCCUCAGGUUUCUUUCUGCGCAGGAGGAAACCCAACCCCAGG